CGACGUAAUCAACCUGCCCUUCAGAGGGGGACAACAGUUGGAAACGACUGCUAAUACCGCAUACGAUCCAAUCUCGGCAUCGAGACUGGAUGAAAGGUGGCCUCUAUUUAUAAGCUAUCACUGAAGGAGGGGAUUGCGUCUGAUUAGCUAGUUGGCGGGGUAACGGCCCACCAAACCGACGAUGGAUAGGGGUUCUGAGAGGAAGGUCCCCCACAUUGGUACUGAGACACGGACCAA
rnacentral:rRNA from 1 species